rnacentral:rRNA from 1 species
GUGGCGGACGGGUGAGGAACGCGUGAGAACCUGCCUCAAGGUCGGGGACAACAGUUGGAAACGACUGCUAAUACCGGAUGAGCCUUCGGGUAAAAGAUUUAUCGCCUAGAGAGGGGCUCGCGUCUGAUUAGCUAGAUGGUGAGGUAAAGGCUUACCAUGGCGACGAUCAGUAGCUGGUCUGAGAGGAUGAGCAGCCACACUGGGACUGAGACACGGCCCAGACCCCUACGGGAGGCAGCAGUGGGGAAUUUUCCGCAAUGGGCGAAAGCCUGACGGAGCAAUACCGCGUGAGGGAGGAAGGCUCUUGGGUUGUAAACCUCAAAACUUAGGGAAGAAAAAAAUGACGGUACCUAAUGUAAGCAUCGGCUAACUCCGUGCCAGCAGCCGCGGUAAUACGGAGGAUGCAAGCGUUAUCCGGAAUCAUUGGGCGUAAAGAGUCCGUAGGUGGCACUUCAAGUCUGCUUUCAAAGACCGAAGCUCAACUUCGGAAAGGGAGUGGAAACUGAAGAGCUAGAGUAUAGUAGGGGUAGAGGGAAUUCCUAGUGUAGCGGUGAAAUGCGUAGAGAUUAGGAAGAACACCAGUGGCGAAGGCGCUCUACUGGGCAUAUACUGACACUGAGGGACGAAAGCUAGGGGAGCGAAAGGGAUUAGAUACCCCUGUAGUCCUA